GUCUUCUACAUUAUCUUCUCCAGAAAUUAAAACAGGAAUUUAAUACUUGUAUACUUAUUUAUUUGGUUUGCAAGUUUGGCUCUUUUGUCACAUUU